rnacentral:rRNA from 1 species
UUUUUAACGGAGAGUUUGAUCCUGGCUCAGGACGAACGUUGGCGGCACGCCUAAUGCAUGCAAGUCGAACGAAAUCCCACCGCUUGCGGUGGUGUAUUUAGUGGCAGACGGCUGAGUAACGCGUAACUAAUCUGCCUUUGGGAGGGGAAUAACAAAGGGAAACUUUUGCUAAUACCCCGUACGAUCUAUAUUUUACUUUUUAUAGAUGAAAGGUGUCUUUGACAUCGCCCUUAGAUGAGGUUGCGUACUAUCAGGUAGUUGGUGGGGUAAUGGCCUACCAAGCCUAAGACGGUUAGCUGGUGUGAGAGCACGACCAGCCAGAGGGGGACUGAGACACGGCCCCCACUCCUACGGGAGGCAGCAGCAGGGAAUCUUCCGCAAUGGGCGAAAGCCUGACGGAGCGAUGCCGCGUGAGGGAUGAAGGUUUUUGGAUCGUAAACCUCUUUUCUUGGGGAAGAGCAAGGACGGUACCCAAGGAAUAAGUCACGGCUAACUACGUGCCAGCAGCCGCGGUAAUACGUAGGUGACGAACGUUGUCCGGAAUUAUUGGGCGUAAAGGGUCCGUAGGCCGUUUAGUCAGUCUCCUGUGAAAUCUCUAGGCUCAACCUAGAGAGGUCGGGAGAUACUGCUAAACUAGAGAUUGUCAGAGGCAAGUGGAAUUCCCGGUGUAGUGGUGAAAUGCGUAGAUAUCGGGAGGAACACCAGUGGCGAAAGCGGCUUGCUGGGACAGUUCUGACGCUGAGGGACGAAAGCGUGGGUAGCAAACCGGAUUAGAUACCCGGGUAGUCCACGCCCUAAACGAUGAAUGCUAGGUUUGCGGGGUAUCGACCCCUUGUGAGCCGAAGCUAACGCGAUAAGCAUUCCGCCUGGGGACUACGGCCGCAAGGCUAAAACUCAAAGGAAUUGACGGGGGCCCGCACAAGCAGCGGAGCGUGUGGUUUA